rnacentral:rRNA from 1 species
CCCUUAGAUGUUCUGGGCCGCACGCGCGCUAUACUGACGAAUGCAACGAGCUUAUAACCUUGGCCGAAAGGUCUGGGUAAUCUCCAAAUUUCGUCGUGAUGGGGAUAGAUUAUUGCAAUUAUUAAUCUUCAACGAGGAAUGCCUAGUAAGCGCAAGUCAUCAGCUUGCGUUGAUUACGUCCCUGCCCUUUGUACACACCGCCCGUCGCUCCUACCGAUUGAAUGGUCCGGUGAGGCCCCCGGAAUGUGGCAACGGCUUUGGUUCGCCAAACUGAUGCUGCGUGAAGCUGUCCAAACCUUAUCAUUUAGAGGAAGGAGAAGUCGUAACA